UUUAUUUCACCACCUCCUCCCCUAACUCUCGGCCAAAUAUUCACAGUAAAUAAUUUUAUUCACCACUUGCAGCUGAAUCGGCUUACCUCCGUGUCGAGCGCCAGUGCACAGAGGCUUGUUGGAGACCUCGGCUAAGGUGUCAUUUCUCCCUCCUGCGCAAUACACAUUUCCGGCAUCUUAACAAAAUGUGUUGUUGACCGAUGCAGACAGCUGCAACAGCUGGCCUCACGCGAUAUUUGCUUCUCUCUUCCACUUCGCAGAGCACGCAGUCGUCGCUAGUGCAUCGUGUAUAUAAAGGACGAGGAGACGCCAGAGCUGCAUCAGUCGUCAUGGCAGCCUCCACCAAGUCUCUCCUGCUCCUCUGUCUGGCUCUCGUGGUUGUGGCCACAAUGGCGCAGAAUUCUGCUGACGCGCCGCCACCAGCGGCCCCUAGCGGAGAUGCCGCCAACAACCAGGAGCCGGUACAGCCGGUGGCGGGCGACGGAGCUGCUGGGGACCAGGCGCUACAAGACCGCUGGGGGGCGUCCAUUUCCUUCCACAGCGGCUGAGCAGACGGCUGGCAGGUCCAAGAAACACACAGCUCUGCUUUAUCAAGAGCUAAAUUUUCUUUUUCCAAAAUUGUAGACGAACGUGUAUUACAAAAGAAAAAAUAAACUUUAGCAUCCGAAAAAGUA